AAAUCGAGUAGCGGUGCGAGGGAUUUGCAUCAUCCCGUUGUGUCGGAUGCGUAUGGGAACGGUUUGGCGGUUGAGAGUUCGUGGGUUGGUACUAGAGAUUAUAGUGCUCAGUUGGUGGUUCCUUCGAUUUUGGAGUUUGUGAAUCGGUUUGAAGGCGGGAUUGAUGGUAUUAAGAAGAGGAAUCAUGAGUCUGUGGUUGAGAUGGGUCAGAUGCUGGUUAAGUCUUGGGGGACUCAGUUUGGUUGUCCGCCCGAGAUGUGUGCCAGUAUGAUCAUGGUUGGGUUACCGGUUUGUUUAGGAGUGUCCAGUGAUUCGGAUGUUUCGAAGCUAAGAACGUUUUUGAGAGAAAGGUUCAGAAUUGAAAUCCCGACCUACUUCAGGCCACCUGCGGACGGAGAGAUUGAUCCGAUCACGGGAUAUGUGCGUAUUUCUUUUCAAGUUUAUAACAAACCUGAGGAUUAUCAUAGGCUCAGGGACGUAAUUAACGGACUUGUGAGAGAUGGGUUCAGGUGCACGUCUCUAUCUGGUUGAUUAAGGGCAUCAAGCUUUUCGGGCGAAUGAAUCAUCCUGAAAGUUAUCAUGGUUUAGGUACCAUGGAGCUUCAUGAAAUUGGAAGAAAUGAAGUAACCUUUCUAUUUCUACAAUCAUAUCUCUCAGCAUGAACUUCUUAUACAGUAAUCAUGUAUGAUAAAAUAAAACUAAGCUUUCUUCUCUUUCCUUUGCUCGAUUCGCCUGUUCAAAAGCUCCCUUUUACAUGUCUCCUAAAACAUUAGCAAGUCAGGGUAAUAACGCACUGUAGUCAGUGUUAUUGGUUCGUGGAUGGACAUGUCACGGUCGUAAAAAGUUAAUAAUCUGUUACGUUUAUUAUGAUUCAAAUGAUAUCAUUGGUUAAGAGGGCAA